GGUGCUUUGAAAAGGCUUGUUUGUGUAACAGAGGAGGUUGUGAUGAACUUGGUUCAGGCAAACUACGUCUGAGAGGUGUAAUGCUCCUGUGGCUUUACCAUCAAAGCAGGGCACAAAACAGGCUCAGUAAGGGCAGGAUUUUUACCUUCAGUUGGAUUUCUUGUGCCUGCUCCACUAUUUUUUGUUCCAACAGAGUGAUUUUUUGCAUCAGGGAGGACUGGAGCUCCGUGUCAGCGUGAGCUGUGUCUGAAAGCACAAAUCUGUUAUUUAAUCCUCUGCACCACAGGGGACCCCAUGCAAGAACUCCUGUUCUGCCAGAGCAGUGUUGUCUCCUUUGAACGCGAUGGGAGGCUGCCUUGCUCUGGAUUCUCUGUCCUAAGAGGCAGGCUGGCAUCCUCUGAGGAGAGGCACGAAGAGCACGAAGGAAAGAAAACAGG